GACGAACCGUGCGAACGUUGUUCGGAAUCACUGGGCUUAAAGGGCGCGUAGGCGGCUUCGCAAGUCCGGGGUGAAAGCCCCCAGCUUAACUGGGGAAGUGCCUCGGAUACUGCGGAGCUCGAGGGAGGUAGGGGCGACCGGAACUCUGGGUGGAGCGGUGAAAUGCGUAGAUAUCCAGGGGAACGCCGGUGGAGAAAUCGGGUCGCUGGGUCUUUCCUGACGCUGAGGUGCGAAAGCCAGGGGAGCGAACGGG
rnacentral:rRNA from 1 species